UACAGAGGUGGCAAGCGUUGUUCGGAAUUACUGGGCGUAAAGGGCGCGUAGGCGGUGUGUCAAGUCAGGCGUGAAAGCCCCGGGCUCAACCUGGGAACAGCGCUUGAGACUGGCACGCUCGAGUUCGGGAGAGGAUGGUGGAAUUCCCAGUGUAGAGGUGAAAUUCGUAGAUAUUGGGAAGAACACCGAUGGCGAAGGCAGCCAUCUGGACCGACACUGACGCUGAGGCGCGAAAGCCAGGGGGAGCGGAACGGG
rnacentral:rRNA from 1 species